rnacentral:rRNA from 1 species
GACGAACGCUGGCGGCGUGCCUAACACAUGCAAGCCAACUUGACUGAAGGAGCAAUCUGACAGUAGAGUGGCGCAAGGGUGCGUAACGCGUAAGUAACUUGCCCAAGGUAAGGAAUAACGUCGAGAAAUCGGCGCUAAUACCUCAUAAUGCAGCGGAUCCGCAUGGAUAUGUUGUUAAAGGUUUACCGCCUUGGGAUAGGCUUGCGUCUGAUUAGUUAGUUGGUGUGGUAACGGCACACCAAGGCUACGAUCAGUAACUGGUCUGAGAGGAUGAUCAGUCACACUGGAACUGAGACACGGUCCAGACUCCUACGGGAGGCAGCAGUGAGGAAUAUUGGGCAAUGCUCGAAAGAGUGACCCAGCAACGCCGCGUGGAGGAUGAAGGUAUUCUAUAUCGCAAACUCCUAGUGAGAGCAGACGAAAGACAGAUUAUAAUCUGGAUGACUGUAUGCUCAGAGGAAGCCCCGGCUAACUACG